GGAGGAUCAUUACCGUACAACCGAGGUGCAAGGGCUGUCGCUGACCUUCAAAGGCCGUGCACGCCCGAGUGCUCUCACACAAUCCAUCUCACCCCUUUGUGCACCACCGCGUGGGUCCCCCUUUCACAAAGGAGGGCUUGCGUUUUCACACAAAAACUUGAUACAGUGUAGAAUGUUUAUUUUUGUGAUCAUACGCAAUCAAUACAACUUUCAACAACGGAUCUCUUGGCUCUCGCAUCGAUGAAGAACGCAGCGAAAUGCGAUACGUAAUGUGAAUUGCAGAAUUCAGUGAAUCAUCGAAUCUUUGAACGCACCUUGCGCCCCUUGGCAUUCCGAGGGGCACACCCGUUUGAGUGUCGUGAAACCUUCAAAACCCUUUUCUUUGAUCCNUNNCNGUCAGGGAAAGGAGUUUUGGACUUGGAGGUUCAAUGCUAGCUCUCACUUUUGAAAGCGAGCUCCUCUUAAAUGGAUUAGUGGGGUCCUUCUUUGCCGAUCCUUGACGUGAUAAGAUGUUUCUACGUUUUGGAUUUGGCACUGUCCCUCGGACACCUGCCCCUAACCGUCUCACAGACAAUGACGGUGUUUCGGUCACCACCAGCUACGCUG
rnacentral:misc_RNA from 1 species